GACGAACGCUGGCGGCGUGCUUAACACAUGCAAGUCGAGCGAUGAAGUUCCUUCGGGAAUGGAUUAGCGGCGGACGGGUGAGUAACACGUGGGUAACCUGCCUCAUAGAGGGGAAUAGCCUUCCGAAAGGAAGAUUAAUACCGCAUAAGAUUGUAGUGCCGCAUGGUAUAGCAAUUAAAGGAGCAAUCCGCUAUGAGAUGGACCCGCGUCGCAUUAGCUAGUUUGUGAGGUAACGGCUCACCAAGGCGACGAUGCGCAGCCGACCUGAGAGGGUGAUCGGCCACAUUGGGACUGAGACACGGCCCAGACUCCUACGGGAGGCAGCAGUGGGGAAUAUUGCACAAUGGGGGAAACCCUGAUGCAGCAACGCCGCGUGAGUGAUGACGGUCUUCGGAUUGUAAAACUCUGUCUUCAGGGACGAUAAUGACGGUACCUGAGGAGGAAGCCACGGCUAACUACGUGCCAGCCGCCGCCGUAAGAC
rnacentral:rRNA from 1 species